rfam:Schistosoma mansoni strain Puerto Rico chromosome 2, complete genome
AUCCAGCUGACGAGUCCCAAAUAGGACGAAACGUACGUCAAACUGGAU